UUUCUCCAUGGGGACAGAAGCGCUGGCAUGGUAACAGACAGGCAGUAGCCUUUUAAACUAGUUUGUAUGUCCACAUCCUACAACUCAUUAUGGAAAACUAUGCAAAAGGAGUGGGUUAUGAAGUUACAAGAGUGUGGAAUUAAAGCCUGGAUCCGCCAAGAGGUCCGUAAAGGUUAGGAGAGCCACCACCAACCCUUUUCCUGGAGAUCUACCUUCGUUUGGAGUCUAGUUCCAACCCCAGUCUACCAGACCGGUUCAAGGAGCUUCAGCAGAGAAGAACUGGGUAUCACGGUUGUACGGUUACCUGUGCAUUUUCAAGCUCUGCUGUCCAGUGUGGCCUAGAAGAGGACGGGUUCCCCUUACGAGUCUUGGUUCCUGUCAGUGUUUCGUCCUCAUGCUGUUUUUCCUUGGUGAUGCUUAUCAGGUGCUUGGAUCCAUGUUUCAGUAGAGC